rnacentral:rRNA from 1 species
UGCAACGCGAAAAACCUUACCUACCCUUGACAUGCCAGGAAUCCUGUAGAGAUAUGGGAGUGCUCGAAAGAGAGCCUGGACACAGGUGCUGCAUGGCUGUCGUCAGCUCGUGUCGUGAGAUGUUGGGUUAAGUCCCGCAACGAGCGCAACCCUUGUCAUUAGUUGCCAUCAUUCAGUUGGGCACUCUAAUGAGACUGCCGGUGACAAACCGGAGGAAGGUGGGGAUGACGUCAAGUCCUCAUGGCCCUUAUGGGUAGGGCUUCACACGUCAUACAAUGGUCGGUACAGAGGGUUGCCAAGCCGCGAGGUGGAGCCAAUCCCAGAAAGCCGAUCGUAGUCCGGAUCGUAGUCUGCAACUCGACUGCGUGAAGUCGGAAUCGCUAGUAAUCGUGGAUCAGCAUGCCACGGUGAAUACGUUCCCGGGUCUUGUACACACCGCCCGUCACACCAUGGGAGUGGGUUUCACCAGAAGUAGGUAGCCUAACCGCGAGGGGGGCGCUUACCACGGUGGGAUUCAUGACUGGGGUGAAGUCGUAACAAGGUAGCCGUAGGGGAACCUGCGGCUGGAUCACCUCCUACGACUGGUGCGGCUGGAUCACCUCCUAGUCAGAGUUUGAUCCUGGCUAUAUAUAUAUGCGGCUGGAUCACCUCCUACGUGCGGCUGGAUCACCUCCUACAAUCCUCAGAGUUUGAUCCUGGCUCAGAGUUUGAUCCUGGCUCAGAGUUUGAUCCUGGCUAUAUAUAUAUAUAUAUGCGGCUGGAUCACCUCC